CUGACCUUAGCUCAGUUGGUAGAGCGGAGGACUGUAGUGAUGAUAGAUAUCCUUAGGUCGCUGGUUCGAAUCCGGCAGGUCGGA
rnacentral:tRNA from 1 species